UGUUAACAGGGCAUUGACUCUGGGAGGAGGACUGCCACGUUUGGAACACCUUAACCUCUCGGGCUGUCUCACUGUAACUGGUGCAGGCCUGCAGGAUUUAGUUUCUGCAUGCCCUUCUCUAAAUGAUGAACACUUUUACUACUGUGACAACAUUAACGGUCCUCAUGCUGAAACCGCCAGUGGAUGCCAGAAUUUGCAGUGUGGUUUUCGGGCCUGCUGCCGCUCUGGCGAAUGACUGCUGACUUCUCAUCUUUCAGUCUACUUCAUUUAGCUGAGCAGGCUUCCUUUCAUGCACUUUACUUACAGUUCGCAUCUUGUGUUAACAAUCCUUGGAGUGAGAUUUGUUAAACUAGCCUGACCCUGCCCACAACUUCAAAAUCUUAAUUAUGAGUGUACUGUACAGUGUUGUAACAAUCUCACAAUCUCAUUUGGUUUGAAGGGUGUUGGGUUUUGUUUUACUUAAUUUGGGGAAGAUGGGAAAACAUUCAGAUUUUUUUUUUUAAUGCCACUUUCUUCCAAGUUUGGCACUUAAAUAUAUUUUACUGGAUUAUUUUGUGUUAAGUGAAUGGUUUUUUAUUUUGAAUCCGUAAGUACAAUAUAAAGCUCUGCAGAUAAUUUGAAAUGUAUUGUUUGCAUUUGGGUAACAAUUAUACAUCUUUAGGAGCCUUGUUUCUUCCCCUUUCCUCUCAUCCUGAAGUUGUUCUUUAUAUUGCAAAAUUAGGGAAAUUCCGACCUUCCUUUUGCAUUUGGUUUUGUAUUUGGGCUUGAAAGACAUACUCCAAAUAAAACAUUCCCACCA